rnacentral:misc_RNA from 1 species
GGAAGUAAAAACAAGGUUUCCGUAGGUGAACCUGCGGAAGGAUCACUAUUGAAUGAAACACUUCUGGCUUUAUGCUGUUGUGCUGGCCCUUUGGGCAAUGUGCACACGGCUCUGGUCACUUGUUUCUUCUGUUCCACCUGUGCACUGCCUGUAGACACGCUGUGUCUAUGAUAUUUGUUAACACACAACAAUGUUAGUUGGCAUGUUAUAUAUAAUAAUAAAAUAUACAACUUUCAACAACGGAUCUCUUGGCUCUC